AAGCAAGAUCACAAGCAAGAAAUUGUGCCAUCUACAGCUCUUCAACUUGCUGAGCAGCAAGAAGAAAUUAUCGAAAUAAUUUAUGUUCAGGACUCCAAUGAUGGCAGGGACCAGAACCAAAGUUUGGUUAGCUCACCAGAUGCUCACACUAAACUUGAUUCGGAAAUUGGAAAGAGCACACCUAAUACUGUAAGAACUUGAUCAAUAAACAAAUUAUAAGGAUACCAUUCACCAUUCCAAAGAUCAAAUGACAUGGCGCCACCCAAUGGCCUAAAAUGCACAAUACUGCAAGAGGACAGGACAAAGCCUAGUAAAAUGUAC
rnacentral:lncRNA from 1 species